GUCCACGCCUUAAACGAUGGAUGCUAGACGUCGGGCCUUUAUGGUUCGGUGUUGUAGCUAACGCGUUAAGCAUCCCGCCUGGGGAGUACGGUCGCAAGAUUAAAACUCAAAGGAAUUGACGGGGACCCGCACAAGCGGUGGAGCAUGUGGUUUAAUUCGAUGCUACGCGAAGAACCUUACCAGGCCUUGACAUGUAUUUGAACCUUUUGAGAGAUCAAUUGGGUGUAGCAAUACACGGAUACACAGGUGUUGCAUGGCUGUCGU
rnacentral:rRNA from 1 species